rnacentral:rRNA from 1 species
UACGGGGGGGGCAAGCGUUGUUCGGAAUUACUGGGCGUAAAGGGCGCGUAGGCGGUUUGCUAAGUUGAAUGUGAAAACUCUGGGCUUAACCCAGAGCCUGCAUUCAAUACUGGCAGGCUAGAGUUCUGGAGGGGAUAGCGGAAUUCCUGGUGUAGCGGUGAAAUGCGUAGAUAUCAGGAGGAACACCGGUGGCGAAGGCGGGUCUCUGGGCCGUUACUGACGCUGAGGAGCGAAAGCGUGGGGAGCGAACAGG